rnacentral:rRNA from 1 species
UUGCGCGCUGGCGGCAGGCCUAACCCAUGCAAGUCGAACGGUAACAGAAAGCAGCUUGCUGCUUUGCUGGCGAGUGGCGGACGGGUGAGUAAUGUCUGGGAAACUGCCUGAUGGAGGGGGAUAACUACUGGAAACGGUAGCUAAUACCGCAUAACGUCGCAAGACCAAAGAGGGGGACCUUCGGGCCUCUUGCCAUCGGAUGUGCCCAGAUGGGAUUAGCUAGUAGGUGGGGUAACGGCUCACCUAGGCGACGAUCCCUAGCUGGUCUGAGAGGAUGACCAGCCACACUGGAACUGAGACACGGUCCAGACUCCUACGGGAGGCAGCAGUGGGGAAUAUUGCACAAUGGGCGCAAGCCUGAUGCAGCCAUGCCGCGUGUAUGAAGAAGGCCUUCGGGUUGUAAAGUACUUUCAGCGGGGAGGAAGGGAGUAAAGUUAAUACCUUUGCUCAUUGAUGUUACCCGCAGAAGAAGCACCGGCUAACUCCGUG